rnacentral:rRNA from 1 species
GAUGAACGCUGGCGGCGUGCUUAACACAUGCAAGUCGAACGGAAAGGCCCAAGCUUGCUUGGGUACUCGAGUGGCGAAAGGGUGAGUAACACGUGGGUGAUCUGCCCUGCACUUCGGGAUAAGCCUGGGAAACUGGGUCUAAUACCGGAUAGGACGAUGGUUUGGAUGCCAUUGUGGAAAGUUUUUUCGGGGUGGGAUGAGCUCGCGGCCUAUCAGCUUGUUGGUGGGGUAAUGGCCUACCAAGGCGUCGACGGGUAGCCGGCCUGAGAGGGUGUACGGCCACAUUGGGACUGAGAUACGGCGCAGACUCCUACGGGAGGCAGCAGUGUGGAAUAUUGCACAAUGGGCGCAAGCCUGAUGCAGCGACGCCGCGUGGGGGAUGACGGCCUUCGGGUUGUAAACUCCUUUCGCUAGGGACGAAGCGUUUUUGUGACGGUACCUGGAGAAGAAGCACCGGCUAACUACGUG